rnacentral:rRNA from 1 species
ACGAACGCUGGCGGCGCGCCUAACACAUGCAAGUCGAACGGAGCUUAGAGAGCUUGCUUUUUAAGCUUAGUGGCGAACGGGUGAGUAACGCGUGAGUAACCUGCCCUAGAGUGGGGGACAACAGUUGGAAACGACUGCUAAUACCGCAUAAGCCCACGGUACCGCAUGGUACUGAGGGAAAAGGAUUUAUUCGCUUUAGGAUGGACUCGCGUCCAAUUAGCUAGUUGGUGAGGUAACGGCCCACCAAGGCGACGAUUGGUAGCCGGACUGAGAGGUUGAACGGCCACAUUGGGACUGAGACACGGCCCAGACUCCUACGGGAGGCAGCAGUGGGGGAUAUUGCACAAUGGGGGAAACCCUGAUGCAGCGACGCCGCGUGGAGGAAGAAGGUUUUCGGAUUGUAAACUCCUGUCGUUAGGGACGAUAAUGACGGUACCUAACAAGAAAGCACCGGCUAACUACGUGCCAGCAGCCGCGGUAAAACGUAGGGUGCAAGCGUUGUCCGGAAUUACUGGGUGUAAAGGGAGCGCAGGCGGGAAGACAAGUUGGAAGUGAAAACCAUGGGCUCAACCCAUGAAUUGCUUUCAAAACUGUUUUUCUUGAGUAGUGCAGAGGUAGAUGGAAUUCCCGGUGUAGCGGUGGAAUGCGUAGAUAUCGGGAGGAACACCAGUGGCGAAGGCGGUCUACUGGGCACCAACUGACGCUGAGGCUCGAAAGCAUGGGUAGCAAACAGGAUUAGAUACCCUGGUAGUCCAUGCCGUAAACGAUGAUUACUAGGUGUUGGGGGAUUGACCCCCUCAGUGCCGCAGUUAACACAAUAAGUAAUCCACCUGGGGAGUACGACCGCAAGGUUGAAACUCAAAGGAAUUGACGGGGGCCCGCACAAGCAGUGGAGUAUGUGGUUUAAUUCGAAGCAACGCGAAGAACCUUACCAGGUCUUGACAUCCGAUGCAUAGCACAGAGAUGUGUGAAAUCCUUCGGGACAUCGAGACAGGUGGUGCAUGGUUGUCGUCAGCUCGUGUCGUGAGAUGUUGGGUUAAGUCCCGCAACGAGCGCAACCCUUAUUGCCAGUUACUACGUAAGAGGACUCUGGCGAGACUGCCGUUGACAAAACGGAGGAAGGUGGGGAUGACGUCAAAUCAUCAUGCCCUUUAUGUCCUGGGCUACACACGUACUACAAUGGCUAUAACAAAGAGAAGCGAGACAGUGAUGUGGAGCAAAACUCAAAAAAAUAGUCUCAGUUCGGAUUGAAGGCUGAAAUUCGCCUUCAUGAAGCCGGAAUUGCUAGUAAUGGCAGGUCAGCAUACUGCCGUGAAUACGUUCCCGGGCCUUGUACACACCGCCCGUCACACCAUGAGAGUUGGGAAUACCCGAAGCCUGUGAGCUAACUUUUAGAGGCAGCAGUCGAAGGUAGAAUCAAUGAUUGGGGUG